AAAGGCCUGUGAUGAUCAACAUUUUGUCUACAUUGUAUGAUUUUACAGUGAUAAAGAAAUUUUUGUGUCUGAGGCCUUG